rnacentral:rRNA from 1 species
ACUCAAAGGAAUUGACGGGGGCCCGCACAAGCGGCGGAGCAUGUGGAUUAAUUCGAUGCAACGCGAAGAACCUUACCUGGGUUUGACAUGGCCGCUGUAGCCGCAGAGAUGCGGUGUCCUUCGGGGGUGGUCACAGGUGGUGCAUGGCUGUCGUCAGCUCGUGUCGUGAGAUGUUGGGUUAAGUCCCGCAACGAGCGCAACCCUUGUCCGAUGUUGCCAGCGGGUUAUGCCGGGGACUCAUCGGAGACUGCCGGGGUCAACUCGGAGGAAGGUGGGGAUGACGUCAAGUCAUCAUGCCCCUUAUGUCCAGGGCUUCACACAUGCUACAAUGGCCGGUACAAAGGGCUGCGAUACCGCGAGGUGGAGCGAAUCCCAAAAAGCCGGUCUCAGUUCGGAUCGGGGUCUGCAACUCGACCCCGUGAAGUCGGAGUCGCUAGUAAUCGCAGAUCAGCAACGCUGCGGUGAAUACGUUCCCGGGCCUUGUACACACCGCCCGU